GGGUGAUGUGGGUUAGGCUGAGGUCGACUUGAGAGAGAGAGAGAGAGAGAGAGAGAGAGAGAGAGAGAGAGAGAGAGAAGGGAUGAUACCUAGGCCUGGGCGGGAGAUCGUGAAAUCGCAGCAGCCACAGGCACAGCCGCAGCAGAGGUGCAGCUCUGGAUUGAAGAUUUGAGCAGCCACAGUCACAGCCGUUAGGUCAAAAUAGAAGAAGAAAUGAAAAACUGAAGGGAAGAGAAGAGAAGAGAGAGAAGGGAUGAUACCUAGGCCUGGGCGGGAGAUCGUGAAAUCGCAGCAGCCACAGGCACAGCCGCAGUAGAGGUGCAGCUCUGGAUUGAAGAUUUGAGCAGCCACAGGCACAGCACAGCCGUUAGGUCAAAAUAGAAGAAGAAAUGAAAAACUGAAGGGAAGAGAAGAGAAGAGAGAGAAGGGAUGAUACCUAGGCCUGGGCGGGAGAUCGUGAAAUCGCAGCAGCCACAGGCACAGCCGCAGCAGAGGUGCAGCUCUGGAUUGAAGAUUUGAGCAGCCACAGGCACAGCACAGCCGUUAGGUCAAAAUAGAAGAAGAAAUGAAAAACUGAAGGGAAGAGAAGAGAAGAGACUCGGGUGUCUCGUGC
rnacentral:lncRNA from 1 species